AGAGAUGUAGCUUAGUGGUAGAGCACCUGCCUAGCAUGCAUGAGGCUGUAGGUUUGAUCUCUAUUACUG
rnacentral:tRNA from 1 species